AUUGAACGCUGGCGGCAGGCCUAACACAUGCAAGUCGAACGAGUGGCGGACGGGUGAGUAAUGUCUGGGAAACUGCCUGAUGGAGGGGGAUAACUAAUGGAAACGGUAGCUAAUACCGCAUACCAUCGGAUGUGCCCAUAUGGGAUUAGCUAGUAGGGGGGGUAAAGGCUCACCUAGGCGACGAUCCCUAGAUGGUAUGAGAGGAUGACCAUCGACACUGGAACUGAGACACGGUCCAGACGCCUACGGGAGGCAUCAGUGGGGAAUAGUGCCCACUGGGCUCAAGCCUGAUGCAGCCACGCCGCGUGUCUGAAGAAGGCCUUCGGGUUUUAAAGUACUUUCAGCCGGGCGGCGUUACCCGCAGAAGAAGCACCGGCUAACUCCGGGCCAGCAGCCGCGGUAAUAC
rnacentral:rRNA from 1 species